UACGGAGGAUCCGAGCGUUAUCCGGAUUUAUUGGGUUUAAAGGGUGCGUAGGUGGUUUUAUAAGUCAGCGGUGAAAGUUUGCAGCUUAACUGUAAAAAUGCCGUUGAAACUGUAAGACUUGAGUGUAAAUGAGGUAGGCGGAAUGCGUGGUGUAGCGGUGAAAUGCAUAGAUAUCACGCAGAACUCCGAUUGCGAAGGCAGCUUACUAAGCUACAACUGACACUGAAGCACGAAAGCGUGGGGAU
rnacentral:rRNA from 1 species